GCAGCUGCUGCAGGGUUUGAAAAAGGAAUCGAUCGUGAUUUGGAACCUGUUCUUUCCAUGACCCCUCUUAACUGAGAUUUUCUUAUUUAUAUCUAUUCUAUUGUUCUUUUCUGUUCUGGCUCGGCUAUUCCACCUAGCCGAGCCAUUCCUUUUUAUGAAAGAUAAGGGGCCGGGCCAAACAAAUAAAGAAAAAAAUUUAUUCAAUAAACAAAAGGAGAGAGAGGGAUUCGAACCCUCGAUAGUUCUUUGUUUAGAACUAUACCGGUUUUCAAGACCGGAGCUAUCAACCACUCGGCCAUCUCUCCCAGGGGUAAUCUCUAUUUUAUUCCUACGAAUAGAACAUGACCAUAUGAUACACUAACUAUCUGUAGAAACAUCCCAGAUGCGAAUCCAUAUUUCGAUGUAUCUAUGUAUACUGUAUACAUAGAUACAUGAUCUAGUAUGUCUGCUUGUGAAAUAAAGACUAAACUCCCCCCGAGUUCAUGUCCGAAUAAAAUAAAGUGGUAAUAAGUUCUAAAGAAAAGAAUCAAUUGAUUCAUGAUAAAAUCCCUCCAUGAUGGAUUUUAUUACAAUUUUGACUAAGUGCGGGAUCAAAUGUAUAGUUCAUUUGUUGGUAGCUUGGAGGAUUAGAAACAUGACUAUUGCUUUCCAAUUAGCUGUUUUUGCAUUAAUUGCGACUUCAUCAGUCUUACUGAUUAGUGUACCCGUUGUAUUUGCUUCUUCUGAUGGUUGGUCAAGUAACAAGAAUGUUGUAUUUUCCGGUACAUCAUUAUGGAUUGGAUUAGUCUUUUUGGUAGCUAUUCUUAAUUCUCUCAUUUCUUAAACUUAUUUGGUAUUUCCCCGAUCCAAAAACAAAAAUGUCACUCCUUCAAAUAAAUUCGAAUUGUGAGACAUAUUAAGAUUCAAUCUGAGUUCUGAAAAAAAAAUUCUAUUUCAAUGUUAUUAAUUGGAUCUAAUAAAUAAGAUUAUCUUAAUCUAUCUUAAUUGGAAUCUUACUUUACUAUAGUAUCUGAAGUAUACUAUCUAAGUUUUACUUUUUACUAUACUAUCUAAGUAUCUGGCCCUGCACAAAUAUGAUCCAGCCGCAUAUAUGAUAUAUAAUAUAUGUCAUAUAUGUGUGGACAUAUACGUGCGUAUCAGGGAGGAAGAAAAUGCGGAUAUGGUCGAAUGGUAAAAUUUCUCUUUGCCAAGGAGAAGAUGCGGGUUCGAUUCCCGCUAUCCGCCCAUAAUCAUAAUUAAGUAAUGUACUAUGAUAAAAAGAUAAAAAAUUAAUUGACUACUAUACUAACUACUAACUACUAUAGUGGUUAGUAUAGUAGUUCUAUCUUCCCCCUUUCCUUGCCUACCAUCCAAAAACAAAAAUGUUGCGGAGACAGGAUUUGAACCCGUGACCUCAAGGUUAUGAGCCUUGCGAGCUACCAAACUGCUCUACUCCGCGCUAAAGAACUAGGAACUAAUGGGCGAAGAAAGAUUGGAUACGCCCCUCUACCAUAUCUAUACAAAUAGAAUAGUCCAUUUAUACAGAAUGGUAAAGAGGGCCCUUCUAUGAUCAUAGAUCAUAGAGAUCUAUACAAAUAUGAAACGAUAUUUUUAUCCUUACCAACUUGAUCUUGUUGCGCCCGGUAACAAACAUGCAUAAACCAUUUCUCGAAGUAUGUGUCCGGAUAGGCCAAAGUCUCGAUAGUUAGCUCUAGGUCUUCCAGUCAAAAAACAACGUCGAUGAAGACGUAUAGGUGCACUAUUACGUGGUGGGGAUUGCAAUUUUCCAUGAAUUUCCCAUUUUUCACUCAACGAUGAAACUUUGCUUAUUUUUUCUUUUGAGGAUCGGCGAAUCAAAUGAUAUUUCUGUUCCAAAUUUUUCCGCUUGUUCUCCCUCUGAAUCAAACUUUUUCUUGCCAUAAUGUUCAGUUCCUAUUAUUAUCAAUGAUACAGUUCGGAUCCUAGAUGUAAAAAUAUAAGAAGGCGUAUCCUCCCCCUCCAUCGAAACAAAUGAAAUUGUUGCUGAUACAGUACAUAAAAAAACAAUAAAUAACUAAAUUAACCAAAUUUUCCUGAUGUGGAGGCAAUCAAGAAAGCUGCAUAAGUGAAUAUAUAACCCACGGAAAAGUGGGCUAAUCCAACCAAUCUUGCUUGUACAAUGGAAAGAGCCACCGGCUUAUCUCUCCAUCGAAUCAAAUUAGCCAAAGGUGUGCGUUCAUGAGCCCAUGCUAAAGUUUCAAUCAAUUCUUGCCAAUAUCCACGCCAUGAAAUUAAGAACAUAAAUCCAAUAGCCCAAACAAGAUGUCCAAAUAAGAACAUCCACGCCCAUACCGAUAAACUAUUCAUACCAAAAGGAUUAUAUCCAUUGAUAAGUUGUGAAGAGUUUAACCAUAGAUAAUCUCUUAACCAUCCCAUCAAAUAAGUGGAGGAUUCAUUAAAUUGUGAAACAUUACCCUGCCAUAAUGUGAUGUGUUUCCAAUGCCAAUAAAAAGUAACCCAUCCAAUGGUAUUUAACAUCCAGAAAACUGCCAAAUAAAAUGCGUCCCAAGCAGAAAUAUCACAAGUACCGCCGCGUCCUGGGCCGUCACAAGGAAAACUAUAACCGAAAUCCUUUUUAUCCGGCAUUAAUUUGGAACCACGUGCAUCUAAAGCACCUUUUACUAAAAUCAAUGUAGUUGUAUGCAAACCUAGAGCAAUAGCAUGAUGAACCAAGAAAUCGCCAGGGCCUAUUGUUAAGAAAAGUGAAUUACUAUUCUCAUUAACAGCAUUCAACCAUCCCGGUAACCAUAUGCUUCGACCUGCAUUGAAGGCUGGGCCAU
rnacentral:lncRNA from 1 species